GCAUUGCUGAAGAGUUCUACAAUAGAACGAAACGGCUGUCUAGUAC
rnacentral:hammerhead_ribozyme from 1 species